CGUGGCCAACCUGCCCUUGGGACGGAAGCACCCCCGGGAAACUGGGGCUAAUUUCCGAUAGGUGAAGACACCUGGAAUGGAUCUUCGCCUAAAGGGCGCUUAGGCCAUGCUUCUAAGCGCUGCCCAAGGAUGGGACCGCGGCCGAUCAGGUUGUUGGUGAGGUAAUGGCUCACCAAGCCUUUAACCGGUUCGGGCCGUGGGAGCGGGAGCCCGGAGAUGGGCACUGAGACAAGGGCCCAGGUCCUACGGGGCGCAGCAGUCGCGAAAACUCCGCAAUACGCGAAGGCGUGACGGGGCUAUCCCGAGUGCCGUCCGCUGAGGAUGGCUUUUCCCCAGUGUAGAUAGCUGGGGGAAAAAGGAGAGGGCAAGUCUGGUGUCAGCCGCCGCGGUAAUACCAGCUCUCCGAGUGGUGGGGAUGAUUAUUGGGCCUAAAGCAUCCGUAGCUUGCUGAUCAAGUCCCCUGUUAAACCCAACGAAUUAAUCGUUGGAUUGCGGGGGAUACUGCUCGGCUAGGGGACGGGAGAGGCCGACGGUAUUUUCGGGGUAGGGGUGAAAUCCUAUAAUCCCGAGAGGACCACCAGUGGCGAAGGCUGUCGGCUAGAACGCGCCCAACGGUGAGGGAUGAAAGCUGGGGGAGCGAACCGGAUUAGAUACCCGGGUAGUCCCAGCUGU
rnacentral:rRNA from 1 species